GGUAGCCCCUCUGGUUGCCCUCAACCAAUAUUCUUUGUACACUUGUUAAUGUUGAUUUGGAAGUGGGCUGUUUGCUCAGUGGGGGAAGGAUGCAGAAGAAAGACACAGUGCCAGCGCUCAGCCUCUUCUCUACUGUUUCAAGCAAUUCAGCUGGAACCACAAACUUGUACGCCCCGCUUUGCCAGAAGGAAAGCUCGGCAGCUGAUCUGACCCACUCUCCUUAGGAGCUGACAAUGAAAGACAUGAGCGAGUGGAAAGAGAGAAGCAGCUCUCAGCGGCAGAGAAGAAAUUGAAAUCGGCUGCAGAAAAACCAGACAACUACAAAUCAAGGCUCGGAUUUUGGAGAGGGAGAUAGUGGAGCAGAGCAGGGGAGCCGCUCACUUGAAAUACAGAUUGGAGAUAAUGCCCAAAAAGAGGCUGCCUGAGGGAUACAGGCGGCACAAACCAAUUUCGGGAAGACCUGG
rnacentral:lncRNA from 1 species